rnacentral:lncRNA from 1 species
CAGAGAAAAAUGGGACCAACCUAAAUCCAUCCUAAGGACAAAAGAGAAGAAACUUCGCAACUGGAAGCAUUUGGUUAAAUAAAUAACGGGUUGAUCCAGUCUGUGAGACCUGAGAGAGCCGUGAAGACUGCAGGUGGGAGUACUUAUCGGAUGAGGGAAGAUCGGAUGAGGGAAGAUCGGAUGAGGGAAGAAGUGGGGCUGUUAUGAGAGGGGAGCACUGAGAGUCAAAGCCCGGGCCUCCUGCAGUCCAGCACGAAGCCUACCAUUGAGCCACACCCACAGCUCUGGAUUCAGGAGCCUGACACCCUGAGUUCAAUCCCUGGAACCAUGAUGGUGCCAGGAGAGGACCGAGUCCCGCAGGUUAUCCUCUGACCUCCACAUGUGCUCUUACCAGCAAACACAUGUGAUAUGUUUUUAUCUUGUUUGCUUCUUAUUUAUGUGUAUGUGUGGGUGCCUGCUUGUUGGUAUGUGCGCUAUAUGCAUGCAGGUAUCCCUGUAGGGCAGAAGAGAGAAUGAAUCCCUGGA